rnacentral:lncRNA from 1 species
UCCUGAACCUCUUUGUGCUUAGGUUUCCUCAUCUAUAAAAGAGGGAAACACUCUAAAACCUACCUCAUAGUAGUGUUCUUGUAAGGGUAAUAUGAGUUAAGUUCUAUAAAAAGCUCAGAAUAGAGUUGAGAGUAACUGAGGUUGUCCAGGCCCUUCUCAGAUGUCUUGAAUUUUUGUGGAAAAGGAAGGAAUCGGGUGGAUUAGAAGCACCUAUUCCUCAUGCGAGAACAGUGUUUAUGCCAAAUCAGGCAGGGUGGUUCGGGAGUUACACCUAUAUUCCAAGGCAACUGUCCACAGAACAGACAUCCACCCAGUGCUCCUGAGCCUUGGCACAGAAGAUCCCUCCUCUCUUCAGUCACUCACAUGCCAGGGAAGAAAUUUGGUUCUCCUGCCUCCCUGCCUGGCUCCUGUCAGCCAGACAUCUGCUACAUAUGCUGCUGUUGUUUCUGCUUCACCUUUCCCCACAUGAUCUUAUUCUUGCCCCUUCUCUUCCCUUGUCAUUCUUUCUUACGGGAAAGAUGCUGGGGCAAUUUUCUUUACAACAUAUGGAACCAUGCAAAACAUAUAUUUCUGCUUGGCUCUGGUGUGUUCUUGAGUCAAUCAAGACCAUCUGCGUUUGCAUAUCUAAUAUCCCCCAGUCUACCCCAUCUCCUACAUCGAAUUAUUUCUGUAUAAUUUAACAGUGUCUUUGUGCUACAAAGCCCUUAAUAAUUUUUAAACAAAAUUGCCUUAAUACAUAGCAAUUGCUAAAUGCAAUACGGAAAUAUUUAUUUCUUUUGCCAGCUGUAGAUUUCAAAGGCUGCCUUGCACAACUUGCAGAACUCUUUGUGAUACAAACUAUAUAAGGUAUGUUUCUUAAAAGUCACUUUUUUGGGGAGUCUAGCCACACAUCACAUUCAAUUCUACUAGACAUGAACUUUGAAAAAUCAUCAGCAAGUUAACUGCCCAAGGAAAGAAUUCAAACCAGCCCUGUAAUGUUUAAUUUCCCCUUGACCAUUCCAUGGCUGACAUCUGAUAUGCAGUGCUGAGUCUUUCCGAUGGCACCUGUUUUCCAAUUGUUGACCUGUACUUAUCAUCACUGCAAAACACUAAGGCAUGAAUUCUACUGAUAGCGGGAAAUCCAGCUGGAAAGUAACACCAUCAAAGCAUCAUGGAAUAUGUGAUAAGGUUACAUAACUAUAGUCAUGUACAAGCACCAAAAAUA